AGUGGGAUAGCUGGGUCAGAUGGUGGUUCCAGUCCAAGUUUUCUGAGUAAUCGCCACACUUCUUUCCAUAGUGGUUGCACCAAUUUGCAGUCCCACCAGCAAU
rnacentral:pre_miRNA from 1 species